rnacentral:rRNA from 1 species
AAGCGCUUUGGAAAGAUUCUUCGGAUGAUUUCCUUUGUGACUGAGCGGCGGACGGGUGAGUAACGCGUGGGUAACCUGCCUCAUACGAGGGGGAUAACAGUUAGAAAUGACUGCUAAUACCGCAUAAGACCACGGUACCGCAUGGUACAGUAGGUAAAAACUCCGGUGGUAUGAGAUCGGACCCGCGUCUGAUUAGGUUAGUUGGUGGGGUAACGGCCUACCAAGCCGACGAUCAGUAGCCGACCUGAGAGGGUGACCGGCCACAUUGGGACUGAGACACGGUCCAAACUCC